ACGCUAGCGGCAGGCCUAAUACAUGCAAGUCGAGCGGCAAGUUGGGUAGUAAUACUUGACCUAGAGCGGCGCACGGGUGCGUAACGCGUAUGCAACCUACCUUUUACUGGGGGAUAGCCCGGAGAAAUCUGGAUUAAUACCCCAUGGUAUCUAUGGACCGAAUGGUUUGUAGCUUAAAGAUUUAUCGGUAAAAGAUGGGCAUGCGUCUGAUUAGCUAGUUGGCGGGGUAACGGCCCACCAAGGCGACGAUCAGUAGGGGUUCUGAGAGGAUGGACAGCCACACUGGCACUGAGAUACGGGCCAGACUCCUACGGGAGGCAGCAGUAGGGAAUAUUGGGCAAUGGUCGCAAAACUGACCCAGCCAUGCCGCGUGCAGGAAGACGGCCCU
rnacentral:rRNA from 1 species